UUAAAAUCUUAUUUAUAUAUGAUUGUCGCUCUUAUCUAGGUUCUGAGUCGGAUUGGAUUAGAAUGCAUUGGACUAGAGACAUUGUGCAUCAAAGACCAAAAUUUCUCUGUUAAAAGUGCAGAGAAGGUUGUUGGAUGGGCGUUGAGCCAUCACUUGAUGCAGAACACUCGAGAAAAUCUUGACAUGAGGCUAGUUUUAUCUCCAGUUAGCAUUCAGUAUGGGUUGGAACUCUUACAAGCUAAGAAAAAUGACACCACUAGCUUGAAGAAGUCAGUUAAGCUGAUUAUAAUAUUCCUUAUCUGAUGGUUCGCGAAGUUUGUAUAAGAAGCUCCUUAAUUUGAUAUGGAGAAUACUAACUUGUGAACUCAUGAACAAAUUUGUGAUUAACGCAGGAUGUUGAGACCGAAAAUGAGUUUGAAAAGGCACUUCUCGCUGAUGUUGUUGCUCUCAGUGAUAUUGGGGUGACAUUUGAUGAUGUCGGUGCACUUGGAAAUGUGAAGGAUACAUUAAAAGAGCUGGUCAUGCUUCCCUUACAAAUACCUGAAUUUUUAUCUAAGAGUCAACUA